UGGGGUGUAGCUCUAUAGUAGAGCACUUGCCUAGCAUGUACAAGGCCCUGGGUUCCAUCCCCAGCACUACAA
rnacentral:tRNA from 1 species